GUGUCGUGAGAUGUUGGGUUAAGUCCCGCAACGAGCGCAACCCCUGUGAUUAGUUGCCAGCACGUAAUGGUGGGGACUCUAGUCAGACUGCCCAGAUCAACUGGGAGGAAGGUGGGGACGACGUCAGGUCAGUAUGGCCCUUACGCCUUGGGCUGCACACGUACUACAAUGCCCAGCACAAUGAGAACCGAGACCGCGAGGUGGAGGAAAUCUGCAAAACUGGGCCCAGUUCGGAUUGGAGGCUGCAACUCGCCUCCAUGAAGCCGGAAUCGCUAGUAAUGCUGCAUCAGCUACGGCAGCGUGAAUACGUUCCCGGGUCUUGUACACACCGCCCGUCACAUCAUGGAAGCCGGUAGCACCCGAAGUAUCUACGUCCUAGGUGC
rnacentral:rRNA from 1 species